AGAUUGAACGCUAGCGGGAUGCUUUACACAUGCAAGUCGAACGGCAGCGCGGACUUCGGUCUGGCGGCGAGUGGCGAACGGGUGAGUAAUAUAUCGGAACGUGCCCAGUAGCGGGGGAUAACUACGCGAAAGCGUGGCUAAUACCGCAUACGCCCUACGGGGGGAAAGGGGGGAUCGCAAGACCUCUCACUAUUGGAGCGGCCGAUAUCAGAUUAGCUAGUUGGUGAGGUAAAGGCUCGACCAAAGGCGACGAUCUGUAGCUGGUUUGAGAGGACGACCAGCCACACUGGGACUGAGACACGGCCCAGACUCCUACGGGAGGCAGCAGGUGGGGAAUUUGGACAACGGGGGAAACCCUGAUCCAGCCAUCCCGCGUGUGCGACUGAAGGCCGUCGGUUGUAAGCGACUUUCGACGUAGGAAGGAAACGGACGU
rnacentral:rRNA from 1 species